UGAGCCCAGGAAGAUGACCCAGAGGGAUGAGCAGUAUGGACUACUGGAUUCAUGGAGGGCAUGACUACCUGUCAGAUCUUGGGUGUUUUCCCUUCAAGUUCUUAAAAGCUUCAGGACUUUGACCUGAGUUGAAUUUUUAAGAAAAGGCACUGAGCAGAUGAAUGGAGAGAGAAAACUGCUGCACAUAUACAAUGGAGUGUGUGAGCCAGAGAGAAGAAAUCAGAGGUUUGCAGAAAAAUCGAUGGAACUUAGAGAGCCAUCUUGUUAAAGAAGACAGAGACAAAUAGCACACAUUUCCUCCUCCCUGUAGCAGCUGGGAUUGAAAGAAAGAAGGCUACCAAGGAAAGAACUGGUGAACCUCACUGAUCACCUAGAGCAGCAUCAUGCAUCGGCCUCAAGAGUGCUGGGAUUACAGGUGUGCACCACCCUACCUGCAAGCUUCAGAAAAAUGAGGUGUAUGAGGCUGCAGAGAUGGC